CCUCUCAUGGCGUAGUGGUUAACGCGCCCCAACUACAGAUCGGGGAGUCGUGAGUUCGAUUCUCACUGAGAAGA
rnacentral:tRNA from 1 species